CGAAAGGAAGGAGGGAGGAGACAAGGAGAGAGCAGUGCGCAGGCGUGUUCCCUAGGCGCCGGCCCCUGGGAGGAGCAAGUCGUGGGCCGCCUUUGGGCUCAGCGGAUGGAGGCGCGGGGUGGGGUGGAGUCCUAAGGAGCACAGACCCGAAUUGCAGGAUUCUACCAAGAUCCCCCAUUGCAUUGCAUUUGUUUUCACUUCCCCUUAGUCUCCUCCAAUCUGUGACAAUUCUUCAGUGUGUCCUUGUCUUUCAAGACUUUAACUUUUGAGCUCCUGUACAAUAACGAAAAGGAUGAAUAAAAGAGUCUACAAGUAAGACAUAUGUCUUU